GUGCAGCAGGCGCGAAACCUCCGCAAUGCGCGAAAGCGCGACGGGGUUACCCCGAGUGCCGUCCGCUGAGGACGGCUUUUGCCCAGUGUAGCCAGCUGGGCGAAUAAGGAGAGGGGCAAGUCUGGUGUCAGCCGCCGCGGGUAAUACCAGCGUCUCCGAGUGGUGGGGACGCUUAUUGGGCCUAAAGCAUCCGUAGCCGGUCUGGCAAGUCCCUUGUUAAAUCCAACG
rnacentral:rRNA from 1 species